UCCGGGUGAUGAUACAAAAUAGAUGACGAGUCCGAUCCAUUCUUAAAUAUCGUGACGACAAAACGAGGCAGUAAUCCGAUAGAA
rfam:Spinacia oleracea cultivar SynViroflay scaffold1130.con0002.1, whole genome shotgun sequence.